rnacentral:misc_RNA from 1 species
UUUCCGUAGGUGAACCUGCGGAAGGAUCAUUAUCGUGGGGAUUCGUCCCCUCUAGAUAGACACCCUUUGUUUAUGAGUACCAAUUGUUUCCUCGGCGGGCUUGCUCGCCGUUGGACAUCCAAAACCUUUGUAGUAGCAGUAUCUUCAGUAAAAAAACAAAUAUUAAAACUUUCAACAACGGAUCUCUUGGUUCUG